UACAGAGGGUGCAAGCGUUAAUCGGAAUUACUGGGCGUAAAGCGUGCGUAGACGGUUAUGUAAGUCGGGUGUGAAAGCCCCGGGCUCAACCUGGGAAUCGCCAUUCGAGACUGCAUAGCUAGGGUGCGGAAGAGGGAAGCGAAUUUCCGGUGUAGCGGGUGAAAUGCGCAGAUAUCAGGAGGAACACCAAUUGCGAAGGCAGCUCGCUGGGACGUUACUGACGCUGAGACGCGAAAGCGUGGGGAGCAAACAGG
rnacentral:rRNA from 1 species